UACGUAGGGUGCGAGCGUUGUCCGGAAUUAUUGGGCGUAAAGAGCUCGUAGGCGGUGUGUCGCGUCGGCCGUGAAAACCUGGGGCUUAACUCUGGGCGUGCGGUCGAUACGGGCAUCACUGGAGUUCGGCAGGGGAGACUGGAAUUCCUGGUGUAGCGGUGAAAUGCGCAGAUUUCGCUUGGAACGCCAACGGUGAAAACAGCUCGCUGGGGGUGUGCUGACGCUGAGGCACGAAAGCCAGGGGAGCGAACGGG
rnacentral:rRNA from 1 species